rnacentral:rRNA from 1 species
UACGGAGGGUGCGAGCGUUGUCCGGAAUCACUGGGCGUAAAGGGCGCGUAGGCGGCAAUUCAAGUCAUCUGUGAAAUCUCCGGGCUUAACUCGGAAUGGUCAGGUGAUACUGCUUUGCUAGAGUGCAGAAGGGGCAAUCGGAAUUCUUGGUGUAGCGGUGGAAUGCGCAGAUAUCAGGAGGAACACCGGUGGCGAAGGCGGGUCUCUGGGCCGUUACUGACGCUCAGGCGCGACAGCGUGGGGAUCAAACAGG